ACGAACGCUGGCGGCGUGCUUAACACAUGCAAGUCGAGCGGUAAGGCCUUUCGGGGUACACGAGCGGCGAACGGGUGAGUAACACGUGGGUGAUCUGCCCUGCACUCUGGGAUAAGCCUGGGAAACUGGGUCUAAUACCGGAUAUGACCAUUGAUCGCAUGAUUUUUGGUGGAAAGAUUUAUCGGUGCAGGAUGGGCCCGCGGCCUAUCAGCUUGUUGGUGGGGUAAUGGCCUACCAAGGCGACGACGGGUAGCCGGCCUGAGAGGGCGACCGGCCACACUGGGACUGAGACACGGCCCAGACUCCUACGGGAGGCAGCAGUGGGGAAUAUUGCACAAUGGGCGAAAGCCUGAUGCAGCGACGCCGCGUGGAGGAUGACGGCCUUCGGGUUGUAAACUCCUUUCAGCAGGGACGAAGCGCAAGUGACGGUACCUGCAGAAGAAGCACCGGCCAACUACGU
rnacentral:rRNA from 1 species